AGGGAGCGACCAAGGACGAGCGAGGAGAGAGAAAGAAAUAGGAGAGAGAGAAAGAGAGAGACGGGGGGGGGGGGAAGGAGUAGUAUUAGCAGCGAUCGAUCACAAGCAAGAGCCGGGGCAUAAAUCGGCGGAGAAGAAACAAAAGCGCAGAGAGGACAAAAGAACACGAAGAACUCCACGAAGGAAGGAGGGAGGCAAGAAGAAGCUCUUCCGAAGCGAAAAUCGGAAGCAGGAAGAACAAGAACAAGCAACAGAAAAUCGCUUCAAAAGCUCUUCUCGCCGGGAAUCCAAGCGCACUCACUGUAAAUUGCUGGAAGCUCUGAAAGGGAUGUAAUUUAUGGUUUGUACAGUUGGGGACCUGGGAAGCACCGAGAAGCAUGGGGUUAUGGCUCAGGUUUAGUGAUUCAGUUAGGGUUUUGAUUUUUAAAGGAUUCGGAACAUGGACACUUUGAUUUAGGGUUUUGGACGGAGAUUGGAGGUUUAUACGGAGUUUGAUCUCCGGUGGAGUAUUGUAGCUUGUUUAAUUUUGAUUAUAGGGUUUUCAUUUUGAAAAGAUGAGAUUUGGGUCUGCAUUGUGUGAAUUUGUGGGCGUUUUAAUGUGGGUGCGACUGUAAUUUGGAUUGGAAUUUUGAGGAAGGGGUCUGGGGUUUGGUGCAAUUUGUGGAUUGUGUAUGUGUUUGCAUUGAGAGAUGAAACCAGAGCGGGACUUAAGAAUUGAUGUUAGGGAGUUGAAGGUUCAGAUUGUGAAGAGGAUUGGGACUGAGAGAUCGAAGAGAUAUUUCUAUUAUUUGGACAGGUUGUUAAGUCAGAAAUUGAGUAAAAGUGAGUUUGACAAGCUGUGUUUGCGAGUGCUUGGGAGAGAGAAUCUCCAACUACACAAUCAGUUUAUACGAUCCAUUUUGAAGAAUGCUUGUCAUGCCAAGACCCCGCCUCCAAUUCAUGAAGCGGGUCCCUCUAAAUCUUUGCCAGCAGGUGGAAGAAGUUCCUCUCCUAUUGAAGAUGGGCACAAACCAAGUGGAUCCAUGGUUCCAAAUCAAAUUCAAGCACCGCCCAUUUGGUCGAAUGGGGUUGUAUUGCCAAUGUCACCAAGGAAGGGUAGGUCUGGGAUUCGUGAUCCGAAGCUUAGGGAUAGACUGAGUCCCCUUGGACCAAAUGGGAAAGUGGAUUCUGCGUCUCAUCAAUCUAUGGCAAUAGAAGAUGGUGGUAAUAAGGUUAUUAUGGAAAAUGGGGAGUUGCCUCCAUGUGAUUAUCAGAGGCCCUCACAGCAUCUUCAUGGGCUUGCUGAGCAACCUGAGAAUGAUAAGGAGACUUCGGUUCAGCAGUCAAUGGGAAGACAGAAAAUGAAGAAGUCAAUGGAUGCUCCAGUUUUACUACAUAGUAAAGAUCAGACUAAAGUAGCAGUUGCUGAAGAUGAGGAAGAAGUGGAACAGGCAAAUCAUUUGAAUUUUUCUAGAAGUCCACUCCUUGCACCAUUAGGGAUUCCAUUCUGCUCUGCUAGUGUAGGUGGGGCCCGCAAAACUGUGCCAAUGGCUAGCAGUGGUAAUUUUGUUAGCUAUUUUGAUAGUGGUGGUUUGUCUGAUACGGAGACGCUGAAGAAACGAAUGGAGCAGAUUGCAGUAGCACAAGGCCUUGGAGGGGUAUCUAUGGACUGUGCUAACAUGUUGAAUAAUAUGCUGGAUGUGUAUUUGAAGCGAUUAGUGAAGUCUUGUGUUGAGUUGGCUGAGGCUAGGUCUGCACAUGAGCCGAGAAAGCACCACCUUGCCCAGAAGCAGCAGAUUCAAACCAAGCUUAUUAAUGGCAUGUGUCUAACUAAUCAUUACCAUAUGCAGAAUGGUGGAGGGCCUGCUGAUAUUGUACAAGAACAUAGAAAUCGUUGCUCAAUAUCUUUGCUUGAUUUCAGUGUUGCGAUGGAGCUUAAUCCGCAGCAACUUGGAGAAGACUGGCCAUUGCUGCUGGAGAAGAUUUCUAUGCAUGCAUUUGAGGAAUGAGCCAUCUGCGGACAAAACUUGGCUUUAUCCUAAGCUGUGACUGGGUCAGUCUAUUCUGAUUCCGAGGUUCACAACUGUUGUUGGGCACUGUUGGUGUAUUGAUGCAGCCGGAUCUCAUGGCCAUGAAUCAGAUGACUGCCAUUCAGCUAAUGCUCUGAUCCUUGCAAGAUGGAUUGAUGAGCAUCAACAAUCUGUGUUCUCCUGCUGCAGAGCCUGGUUGCAAUUGGGGACUCACUUUACAGCAGCCAAUCAAUGGGUAAUUUCAAAAGGAACGCCCAUGUCUGGUUGUCGUGUUGUACGUUUAGCAUUCGUGUUGGCUGUCUUCUGCCAUCACCACAGAUCAUGAGCCUUUCAUGUAAUUUACCGCCCAGAGGAAAUCUAAGAAAGUUUUGCAGGGAUACUUAUGUAGCUUGGUGAAAGUUCUUUGCGGAAUGGAUAAAUCCAAAUGGAUACCAGCUCUUUGUGGUGCCAGAAGCUCUCCGUUUGCACGAUCGUGUCUAAGUAUUUGGAAGAUAAAAUAAAGUAGGAAAAGUGAACAGCAACCCUUGAGCUUUGUUUGAUGAGAGAUAAGCCUUUUUUUUUUUUACCCUGAUCUGUGUAACGUGGCUUUUAUGGAGCCCUCCUGUUUAGUUUGUUAUUUGAUCAAACUUUUUUGGGCUGUGGGAGAGUUGUAACUGAUUCUAUGGAUAUGUGCGUUAAACUUAUCUUAUUGGUUGCACUCUUUUAAUAACAAGGAUGAUGUUAGGUGCUGAAUGCCUACUAUUGUCCCUUUGUGAUAAGCA